AAAGAAAAGUUUUAAUGCCACAAGAGGAGUAACAUUACAGCAAAAAAUAUAUAGUUAUGUGCAAAAUGUUUAAUAAUUCAUGCAUAUGAAUAAUAAAACCUCAUUUUUUGUGUUUAAAAUAUAGGCAAUCAUGCCAGGAGAAAAAAGGUCCUUACUAGUUGAUCCUCUUGGUGAGUCUCAAAUGGACAUUAAAAAAUGCCUGGAAUCAACCCGGGCGUUCAUGCGCAAGAAAGGGUGCAAUGUUUCCAGGUGGACUUAUGGCACUGUCCCCCAUCCCAGGCAACAAGAUUCAACAUCUUGUGGUGUAUUUGCUUUGAAAUUUGCAGAACAUCUUCUUUCAAAUGAAGAAAUAGAUUUCUCAGCAAAGGCACAUGAUGUAAAUAGGUACAGGCUGCAAAUUGCCACCACACUUCUAUUAGAGACUGAUGAUUUAUCUAACUUGUGCUUUGUUUGUGGGGAAGCUACACAUGACACAGACAACAGAUGGAUUCAGUGUGACGAGUGUUGCAGGUGGUUCCAUCUUGUAUGUGUCGGGGAGCCUCCAACCGAAGGCUCUUUUUUCUGUACAACAUGUACAAA